UUAGAAAGUCAUUAAUUUCAAUUGUUCUGUCACAUUUAUUGAUCACCUCCUACUUGCCAGGCCCUUUUCUAGGUGCUGGGAUGGAACCAAGACUAAAAUAAUCCCUGCCAUAGAGCUGUUGUCAAGUAGGAGUAACCGCAGAAGAGCGUCCUGGAGAGAAGGUUCCAGAGAAGCCUGGCGCAGGUUCCGGCCUGGCGGAGGCUCCCCGGGGUCGUGGAGCUGCGCGUGGGCAUCACCACCUGGCUGUCUGUGUCUGCAGCCUGGGUCCAAGAUGUGUGGGCCGGGCUUGCAGGCAGAGGUCCAGAGAGGCUGUUGGGAGUUGACCAUUUCCAUCUGAAGGGCUUCGUAGUCUCUGAGGGCCUGGCUGGGCCGCCCCCCCACCCCCGGGCCUCCCCUCUCCUCCCUGCAGCCUCAGCCACCGCCCCUCCGCCCCUGCACUGUGCGACGACUGCAGCC